AUGUUCUCGUCCCAGUCCCUCAGCCGCGUCAAUAACAUCCGGACUGCGCUCAUCAACGCGCAGAAGGGCAACCAAUCGGUCGCCUCCUACUUCGCCUCCCUGCGCGGCCUCGCCGAUGAACUCGCCACCGCUGGAAAACCCAUCCAGGAUGACGAGUUGAUCUCGUAUAUCCUCCACGGCCUCGACGUCGACUACCAGCCGCUCGUCUCCGCUCUCGACGCCCGCGUCACGCCCGUCACCCUCGACGAGCUCUUUGCCGUGCUGAGCAACUUCGAUCAGCGCAUGGCGCAGUUCCACGGCUCCUCCGGCGGCUUCAAGUCUUCGCCCAACGCCGCGUCUCGCGGCCGUGGUGGCGACUCUCGCUCGCAUGGAUCUCCCCGCAACAAGGGGCAGUCAGGAGGAAACAGCAACACUGGCGGCUCCUCCAACUCUCGUGGCGGCCGCUCCAUCAACUCCAAGCCUCGCCGCCGCGGCGGCUCCAGUCGGUCCCGUCCUGAUGCGCCCCGCUGCCAGAUCUGUGGCAAGCUUGGGCAUACAGCCAAGGACUGCUGGUACCGCUACGAUGAAGAUGAGGACUCCUCCCAAGACGAGGACAAGGUUGCUGCGGCUGCGGACGGCUCCUACGGCAUUGACACGAACUGGUACGUUGAUAGUGGGGCUACCAACCAUAUCACCAACGAGCUCGAGAAGGUCACCAUGAAGGAAAAAUACCGGGGCAAGGAUCACAUCUACACCGCCAACGGCGAAGGUAUGAGGAUUAGCCAUGUUGGUCACUCACUUUUUAGUACCCCUCGUCGUAAACUUCAUCUAAAGAAAAUUUUGCUAGUUCCUAGUGCCGACAAGAAUCUUCUUUCUGUUCAUAGAUUGACAUUGACAACCAUGUCUACCCUGAGUUUCAUCCUCAUUUUUUCUUGA
rnacentral:rRNA from 1 species